rnacentral:tRNA from 1 species
GACCGCGUAGCUCAGUUGGCAGAGCGUUGGGCUAGUAUUCCAAAGGUCGUAGGUUCGAAUCCCACCGUGGCCA